UAAAGUUGAGGAUGAUGUUGAAUUGGUUCCAUUUCCUGAAUGUGUCGUGGCAAGUAGCUAGAGGACAAGUUCUUCAAGACAAUUACGUUGAUGUACAUAUGGAGUGGAACUGUGAAGGCCUUUUGCAUUUGAUGGACGUACUAUUCUAUCAAUAAAGACUACAGCCCCAAAGAAUCACUAGAUGGAUUAGAUGCUUACUUCUACAACUUAUGCUCUAUUUUCUAUCUAUUUGAAUUGUGGCUUCUUGUCUAGACUUUCGAAAUAAUGUAAUAAAUUGGACUCUGAAUAUAUUUGUGGUUCUUGA